AUUGAACGCUGGCGGCAGGCCUAACACAUGCAAGUCGAACGAGUGGCGGACGGGUGAGUAAUGUCUGGGAAACUGCCCGAUGGAGGGGGAUAACUUCUGGAAACGGUAGCUAAUACCGCAUACCAUCGGAUGUGCCAAGAGGGGAUUAGCUAGUAGGGGGGGUAACGGCUAACCUAGGCGACGAUCCCUAGCUGGUCUGAGAGGAUGACCGGCCACACUGGAACUGAGACACGGUCCAGACUCCUACGGGAGGCAGCAGUGGGGAAUAUUGCACAAGGGGCGAAAGCCUGAUGCAGCCAUGCCGCGUGUAUGAAGAAGGCCUUCGGGUUGUAAAGUACUUUCAGCGGGGAGGCGUGACCCGCAGAAGAAGCACCGGCUAACUCCGUGCCAGCAGCCGCGGUAAUUC
rnacentral:rRNA from 1 species